rnacentral:tRNA from 1 species
CUUUGGCGCAGUAGGUAGCACAUCAGUCUUGCAAGUUGAUGGUCCCGAGUUCGAUCCUCUCGGAAG